GCAAUGAGAGUUGUGCUAAGGUAGCGCGAUAAUUUGUCUCUUAAUUGGAGAAUGGUAUGAAAGGUUUGACGUAGAUCAAUUGUCUCUUAAGAAAAAAAUGAAGUUUCCUUUUGAAUGAAAAGGUUUAAAUUUUUGUAAAAGACGAGAAGACCCUGCCGAGCUUGAUUAGGUUUAUAAUUUAAUUAAUUGUUAUUAUUUUUAAGAUUGAAUUUUAGUUGGGGAAAGCUAAACUUAAGAGAACAAGUUUAAGAACAUAGAUCCUCUUUGAGAGAUAGUAGGUAAAAGCUACCGCAGGGAUAACAGCGUAAUUUUUCUUGAGAGAUCAAAUUGAGGGAAAAGUUUGCGACCUCGAUGUUGGAUUAUGACUG
rnacentral:rRNA from 1 species